rnacentral:pre_miRNA from 11 species
UUGUGGAAGAAGGAGCUCUCUUUAGUCCAGUCCGAGACAGCUUCAAGGCUGAUACGUGGCUGCUGACUCGUUGCUUCAAGAACUCAUCACAUASKCCUGGAAAAGAUGGAUGGUUUUUUGAUCCAACGAUGCAGGAGCUGCGUUCAGUUAUGGCUGUCACGUCUUGGACUGAAGGGAGCUCCCUUGUAUUCCACA